rnacentral:rRNA from 1 species
CCUACGGGAGGCAGCAGUGGGGAAUAUUGGGCAAUGGGCGCAAGCCUGACCCAGCAACGCCGCGUGAAGGAAGAAGGCUUUCGGGUUGUAAACUUCUUUUCUCAGGGACGAAGCAAGUGACGGUACCUGAGGAAUCAGCCGCGGCUAACUACGUGCCAGCCGCCGCGGUAAUACGUGGGUGGCAAGCGUUAUCCGGAUUUACUGGGUGUAAAGGGGGUGUAGGCGGGACUGCAAGUCAGAUGUGAAAACCAUGGGCUCAACCUAUGGCCUGCAUUUGAAACUGUAGUUCUUGAGUACUGGAGAGGCAGACAGAAUUCCUAGUGUAGCGGUGAAAUGCGUAGAUAUUAGGAGGAACACCAGUGGCGAAGGCGGUCUGCUGGACAGCAACUGACGCUGAGGCGCGAAAGCGUGGGGAGCAAACAGGAUUAGAUACCCCUGUAGUC